CCCCUCUCAGGGUCGCACCUGAAGAGUUUCCAGUACUCUACCAGUCUCGGUUACGGGAGAGAGAGAGUUAAGCAGAGGUCAACCCAUUACAUUCCUAGCUUGGGCAGUGGCUAGCGAGUGGAAGGCAAUCUACUACAAAU